CUAAGAACGCUGCAGGGCAGAGGUAUCCAAUGCACAUUACUCGGCCAUAUCAGAGAUUUCAACAGAGAACAAAUACAGGCGGUGGUGAGAGAAGAUCAUGUUUGAGGAGAGUGACCAAGGGCUUGCUGGUGAGCACGAAGAAGAAAAACCAAGCCAAGGCGGUAUUGGCGCCCUGGGAUGACGUGAGGAAGAGUGGACAAGCCACCGGCGGGAGUUGAGCUUGACCUGUGUCACUCGGGACGUCAAUGGAACGCCUACAGAGGCCCUGAAUAUCCAAGUCUUGGGGCUGGAGAUGGGACGUCCCCACCGACUUGGGCUGAGUGGUGUUAGCCUGUUAUCCAAGCACACAGGGAGCUGAGGCAGGUACCUCCAUCAAAUGUGUGCGGUACCCACAGAAACCUGAAGAGGGCGUUGGAUUCCCUGGCACUGUAGCAACAGAUGGCUGUGAGCUGCCACGCGGGUACCAGGACCUCUAGAAGAGCAGCCAGUGUUGUUAACUGCUGAAACAUCUCUUCAGCCCCUCAACUCCUUCUGUGUGGUACAGUGCUGGUAGCCGAGGGUUCAGGGGAGAGAUAACCUCCGCUUCUCCUGUGGUAGUGAAAGGAUGGGGAUCUUGACAGGAACGUGUAUACACACAGGAUGUGUGGCAAGUGCUGGCGCACAGGGGCAGCAGUCAGGGUGGGAGAAGAAUACGAGCAGACUGGAGAGAAGGGCCUUUGGGAAGUCGCGGAUAGCGGAGGGUCAGGGGUGAGAGGGGGACCUGCUUUCCAUCUGAUGCCCUUUUGCCCAUUUGGGUAUUUGCUUUUCACGGAGUACACACUGCAGAGUCCAUCAAUGGAACAAACAAUCCUGAUUAAAUAAACAAAUCAGUUAGCGGG